AUUUAUGUUCAUUGUAGCAGCUAUUCUCUCAUACUUUUCCCUCUUUUUCGGCUUUCGAUGAGGGCUCUCCUCUUAAAUCUUCCUUAAUUUCCCUUGUCUGCAUUCCCUUCAUUUGUACAUUAUGCUCUCACUCUCCUCUCCCUCCUGUGUGUCGUUCACAACCCGUCUUUUCUUUUAUGUUGGGUCUGGCUAACGUCAUAGCCGUUGGAGGAAAUCAAGCCAUCUCAGUCGUUCCUUAUGUUAUUCCUCCAUCAACACCGUUCAACGUGCUUGGUUAGCACCACAUGGCUUCAUCCGAAUCAUCCUUCAUUUCGUUGUUGUGCUCUAACGCUAUCUGUACACCUGUCAACACCUGAUUGGUGUUAUAGCUCCUCAUUUGCUGGUCUAUUUGUUUGUUGGGGAUUUUCAAUUUUCCUCAGUUUGUUUCUUCUCCUAUGUUUUGCCUUUAUUUAGUCGUUUAGCAUUAUUAUUAAUUUAAGUAAUUAUCCUAACUAAUUCUCUUACCUUCCUUUGUGUGUUGAAAUGUGGAUCGAAG
rnacentral:lncRNA from 1 species